rnacentral:rRNA from 1 species
UACAGAGGUCUCGAGCGUUAGGCGGAAUCACUGGGCUUAAAGCGUGUGUAGGUGGAUCGGUAAGUACCUUGUGAAAUCCCACGGCUUAACCGUGGAACUGCUUGGUAUACUGCCAGUCUUGAGCCAGCUAGGGGCUACCGGAACAAAUGGUGGAGCGGUGAAAUGCGUAGAUAUCAUUUGGAACGCCAAUGGUGAAAACAGGUAGCUGGGGCUGUGCUGACACUGAGACACGGAAAGCCAGGGGAGCAAACGGG